rnacentral:rRNA from 1 species
UACGUAGGGGGCAAGCGUUGUCCGGAAUCAUUGGGCGUAAGGAGCGUGUAGGCGGCCAGAAAAGUCCGCUGUGAAAACUCGAGGCUCAACUUCGAGCUGUCGGUGGAAACUUUCUGGCUAGAGUCCGGAAGAGGAGAAUGGAAUUCCUGGUGUAGCGGUGAAAUGCGCAGAUAUCAGGAAGAACACCCGUGGCGAAGGCGGUUCUCUGGGACGGUACUGACGCUGGAGACGCGAAAGCGUGGGGAGCGAACAGG